AUGGCUUCCACCGAGAAUUCCCCAUCCCCAUCCAUGGCGUCCACCUCCGUCGUCACCCUCAACGUCGGCGGCGAGCUCUUCCAGACCACCGCAGCCACCCUCUCCCGCGCAGGCGCUUCCUCCCCUCUCGCCUCCCUUGGCCCCUCACCCGCCGACGCGCCACACUUCCUCGACCGCGACCCUCGCCUGUUCGCCGGCAUCCUCUCCUUCCUCCGCAGUGGCCGCCUCGCGUCUCCUCCUCCCUCCGCCGCUCUCCUCGCCGAGGCUCGGCACUUCUCACUCGACGGCCUCCUCCUCGCCUCCCUCUCCCCGGCGUCCACCUUCUCCCCCCUCUCUCUGCGCCCCACCGCCCUCCUUCCCCUCACCGGCCGCGUCGCUCCCUCCGCCGUGGCCAUAUCCCCCUCCCCGCACGCGGCCUCCCUCGUCGCCGCGCACGGCGGGGUCGUCACCAGCUUUGACGCCGUGCUCGCCUCCCGCACCAGCGUCCUGACGCCGCUCCCCACCAUCGACUCGCUCGUCGCGGUGUCCCCCGCCCUCGCCCUCGCUGGCGCCCGCGACUUUCCUGGCGUCCAGCUCUGCAGGUUCCCGGGCGACGCCCCUGCCACGGCUUCGGAGGCUCUAUAUUGGCCAGACUCGCCUUCUUCUUCUGUGCUGUCUAUGGCCGCCACAGCGGCCUCAGAAACGGCGUCACAGUGGCUAUUUGCCAGCUUCGAGUCCGCGCGACGGAAUUCGAGCGCCGUGGUGGCGUUCGAUCUGAAUUCUCUGUCACCUGUGCUGGAAAUCGGGAGGAAGGAGGUGUUCGGUGCGGACGUCGAGGCAGCAAUACCACCGACCAAGCUCAGUUGGCUUGCUGGGCACAAUCUCUUGCUUGCGGCCGGAUCACACUCCGGGCCGGCUGGAAUGGUGGGUGACAUACGCCUGUGGGACGUCCGGGCAAGCUCGACGGUGCCGGUGUGGGAGGUGAGGGAGAAGGAGGAUUGCUUUGCAGAUGUUGCUGCAUCAGACUCACUGUCGGCAUUGUUUAAGGUGGGGGCUGCCUCAGGUGAGGUUUUCAUGGCUGACUUGAGGAGACUUAGUGGUGAUGGCACCAGUGUUGAUCCUUGGGUGUGCAUCGGAGACCGACAAAGGGCCGGAGCUGUCACAGCAUCUCGCAGGAAGGAUGGGAAUAACUGUAGAAUUGAGUGCUACCGUAAUUGGGUGUUUGUGGCACGGGACGCAUAUGUUGAGGUGUGGACACAGGUGGAAAUUACAUCAGAGGCUGGGGAGAAGAAGGCGAUGAGGAAGAACUGGGUAGGGAAUGGGCCAUCGAUGGUCACUGCAGACGGCGAGGAGAAGGCCAAGAUCGUGAGCUGGGCCUUCGGAGGCAGCAGGAUGGCAUUGGCUAGAGUUGAUCAUCGGUCUAUUGAGGUGUGGGAUAGUGCUUCUGGGGCAAUAUCAGGUAAUCUCUGA
rnacentral:rRNA from 1 species